rnacentral:rRNA from 1 species
GUUAAGCGACUAAGCGUACACGGUGGAUGCCCUGGCAGUCAGAGGCGAUGAAGGACGUGCUAAUCUGCGAUAAGCGUCGGUAAGGUGAUAUGAACCGUUAUAACCGGCGAUUUCCGAAUGGGGAAACCCAGUGUGUUUCGACACACUAUCAUUAACUGAAUCCAUAGGUUAAUGAGGCGAACCGGGGGAACUGAAACAUCUAAGUACCCCGAGGAAAAGAAAUCAACCGAGAUUCCCCCAGUAGCGGCGAGCGAACGGGGAGCAGCCCAGAGCCUGAAUCAGUGUGUGUGUUAGUGGAAGCGUCUGGAAAGGCGCGCGAUACAGGGUGACAGCCCCGUACACAAAAAUGCACAUAUUGUGAGCUCGAUGAGUAGGGCGGGACACGUGGUAUCCUGUCUGAAUAUGGGGGGACCAUCCUCCAAGGCUAAAUACUCCUGACUGACCGAUAGUGAACCAGUACCGUGAGGGAAAGGCGAAAAGAACCCCGGCGAGGGGAGUGAAAAAGAACCUGAAACCGUGUACGUACAAGCAGUGGGAGCACGCUUCGGCGUGUGACUGCGUACCUUUUGUAUAAUGGGUCAGCGACUUAUAUUCUGUAGCAAGGUUAACCGAAUAGGGGAGCCGAAGGGAAACCGAGUCUUAACUGGGCGUUAAGUUGCAGGGUAUAGACCCGAAACCCGGUGAUCUAGCCAUGGGCAGGUUGAAGGUUGGGUAACACUAACUGGAGGACCGAACCGACUAAUGUUGAAAAAUUAGCGGAUGACUUGUGGCUGGGGGUGAAAGGCCAAUCAAACCGGGAGAUAGCUGGUUCUCCCCGAAAGCUAUUUAGGUAGCGCCUCGUGAAUUCAUCUCCGGGGGUAGAGCACUGUUUCGGCAAGGGGGUCAUCCCGACUUACCAACCCGAUGCAAACUGCGAAUACCGGAGAAUGUUAUCACGGGAGACACACGGCGGGUGCUAACGUCCGUCGUGAAGAGGGAAACAACCCAGACCGCCAGCUAAGGUCCCAAAGUCAUGGUUAAGUGGGAAACGAUGUGGGAAGGCCCAGACAGCCAGGAUGUUGGCUUAGAAGCAGCCAUCAUUUAAAGAAAGCGUAAUAGCUCACUGGUCGAGUCGGCCUGCGCGGAAGAUGUAACGGGGCUAAACCAUGCACCGAAGCUGCGGCAGCGACGCUGAUGCGUUGUUGGGUAGGGGAGCGUUCUGUAAGCCUGCGAAGGUGUGCUGUGAGGCAUGCUGGAGGUAUCAGAAGUGCGAAUGCUGACAUAAGUAACGAUAAAGCGGGUGAAAAGCCCGCUCGCCGGAAGACCAAGGGUUCCUGUCCAACGUUAAUCGGGGCAGGGUGAGUCGACCCCUAAGGCGAGGCCGAAAGGCGUAGUCGAUGGGAAACAGGUUAAUAUUCCUGUACUUGGUGUUACUGCGAAGGGGGGACGGAGAAGGCUAUGUUGGCCGGGCGACGGUUGUCCCGGUUUAAGCGUGUAGGCUGGUUUUCCAGGCAAAUCCGGAAAAUCAAGGCUGAGGCGUGAUGACGAGGCACUACGGUGCUGAAGCAACAAAUGCCCUGCUUCCAGGAAAAGCCUCUAAGCAUCAGGUAACAUCAAAUCGUACCCCAAACCGACACAGGUGGUCAGGUAGAGAAUACCAAGGCGCUUGAGAGAACUCGGGUGAAGGAACUAGGCAAAAUGGUGCCGUAACUUCGGGAGAAGGCACGCUGAUAUGUAGGUGAAG